rnacentral:rRNA from 1 species
GGGAGGUAGUGACAAUAAAUAACAAUACAGGGUUCUUUUGGAUCUUGUAAUUGGAAUGAGUACAAUUUAAAUCUCUUAACGAGGAACAAUUGGAGGGCAAGUCUGGUGCCAGCAGCCGCGGUAAUUCCAGCUCCAAUAGCGUAUAUUAAAGUUGUUGCAGUUAAAAAGCUCGUAGUUGAAUUUCGGGAUUGGCGCAUCGGUCGUGCCUUACGGGGUAUGAACUGGUGCAGUCAAUUUCUCACCUUCUGGAGAACCGCGAUGUCCUUAAUUGGGUGCCGCGGGGAACCAGGACCUUUACUUUGAAAAAUUAGAGUGUUUAAAGCAGGCAUUUUUGCUUGAAUACAUUAGCAUGGAAUAAUAAAAUAGGACGGCAUGGUUCUAUUUUGUUGGUUUCUAGGACCACCGUAAUGAUUAAUAGGGAUAGUUGGG